UGAUGAUCGUGCUGAAGGCUGGAUGCGCUGGAGCUGCGACUGCCCAGAAAAUGGCGAUGGAGAUGAUUUCAGAGCCAUAGAAGCCAUGAUUGAGGUCGCCAUGCGAAUAACAGAUCAACUGAAGAUGAUAGAACUUGAAGGAAACAUCUAGGUGGUGACAGUAUAGUCCUGAGAGUUCCGCUUCCAUCUUCACUGACAGAGAUAUGUAGUUUGUUCGUUUGUGAAUAAUUUCAUAUCGUUCGAGUUUCAGAUAACUUAUCGUCAACUGUGCCAUAAUAAUCCGAAUAUUUUUUUAAUAUAUGUAGAAGAAGAUUAUCCUUUGCAUCUUUUUAGGGCUCUCUCCGGCUAGACUGUUCCAUCUUGGACAGCAUUUGUAAAUUAAAACAAUGUCUUUCUUAGAAUUAUUUCGUGAAAACCUAUCUUUGUUAGUAUUGUAA